rnacentral:rRNA from 1 species
AGUCAAGUAAUUAAGUGCAUGUGGUGGAUGCCUUGGCAGUCAGAGGCGAUGAAAGACGUGAUAGCCUGCGAAAAGCUCCGGGGAGGCGGCAAAUAUCCUUUGAUCCGGAGAUGUCUGAAUGGGGGAACCCACCUACUUUAAGGUAGGUAUUGCAACAUGAAUACAUAGUGUUGCAAGGCGAACGAGGGGAAGUGAAACAUCUCAGUACCCUUAGGAAAAGAAAUCAAUUGAGAUUCCCUCAGUAGCGGCGAGCGAACGGGGAUCAGCCCAUUAAGUUAUGUGUGUUUUAGUGGAACGCUCUGGGAAGUGCGAACGUAGAGGGUGAUAUUCCCGUACACGAAAAGGCACACAUAAUGAUGACGAGUAGGGCGAGGCACGUGAAACCUUGUCUGAAUAUGGGGGGACCAUCCUCCAAGGCUAAAUACUCCUGACUGACCGAUAGUGAACCAGUACCGUGAGGGAAAGGCGAAAAGAACCCCUGUGAGGGGAGUGAAAUAGAUCCUGAAACCGCAUGCAUACAAGCAGUGGGAGCACCUUCGUGGUGUGACUGCGUACCUUUUGUAUAAUGGGUCAGCGACUUAUAUUCAGUAGCAAGGUUAACCGUAUAGGGGAGCCGUAGAGAAAUCGAGUCUUAAUAGGGCGUUUAGUUGCUGGGUAUAGACCCGAAACCAGGCGAUCUAUCCAUGAGCAGGUUGAAGGUUGGGUAACACUAACUGGAGGACCGAACCCACUGUCGUUGAAAAGCCAGGGGAUGACUUGUGGAUAGGGGUGAAAGGCUAAUCAAGCCUGGUGAUAGCUGGUUCUCCCCGAAAGCUAUUUAGGUAGCGCCUCGGACGAAUACCAUAGGGGGUAGAGCACUGUUUCGGCUAGGGGGUCAUCCCGACUUACCAAACCGAUGCAAACUCCGAAUACCUAUGAGUACUAUCCGGGAGACAGACUGCGGGUGCUAACGUCCGUAGUCAAGAGGAAAACAAUCCAGACCGCCAGCUAAGGCCCCAAAAUCAUAGUUAAGUGGGAAACGAUGUGGGAAGGCAUAGACAGCUAGGAGGUUGGCUUAGAAGCAGCCACCCUUUAAAGAAAGCGUAAUAGCUCACUAGUCGAGUCGGCCUGCGCGGAAGAUGUAACGGGGCUAAAACUAUGUGCCGAAGCUGCGGAUGUAUACUUUGUAUACGUGGUAGGGGAGCGUUCUGUAAGCCGAUGAAGGUGUGUUGAGAAGCAUGCUGGAGGUAUCAGAAGUGCGAAUGCUGACGUGAGUAACGACAAAACGGGUGAAAAACCCGUUCGCCGAAAGACCAAGGGUUCCAGUCCAACGUUAAUCGGGGCUGGGUGAGUCGACCCCUAAGGCGAGGCCGAAAGGCGUAGUCGAUGGGAAAAUGGUUAAUAUUCCAUUACUUCUGUGUAAUGCGAUGAGAGGACGGAGAAGGCUAAAUCAGCCUGGCGUUGGUUGUCCAGGUGAAAGGAUGUAGGCAUGUAUCUUAGGCAAAUCCGGGGUACUCUAUGCUGAGAUCUGAUAGCAAGCUGUACUUGUACAGCGAAGUGGUUGAUGCCAUGCUUCCAGGAAAAGUCUCUAAGCUUCAGUUACACAGGAAUCGUACCCGAAACCGACACAGGUGGUCAGGUCGAGUAGACCAAGGCGCUUGAGAGAACUCUGCUGAAGGAACUAGGCAAAAUGGUACCGUAACUUCGGGAGAAGGUACGCUGUUGUUGGUGAUGGAACUCGCUUCCUGAGCUGACGACAGCCGCAGAAACCAGGCCGCUGCAACUGUUUAUUAAAAACAUAGCACUCUGCAAACACGAAAGUGGACGUAUAGGGUGUGAUGCCUGCCCGGUGCUGGAAGGUUAAUUGAUGGGGUUAGCGUAAGCGAAGCUCUUGAUCGAAGCCCCAGUAAACGGCGGCCGUAACUAUAACGGUCCUAAGGUAGCGAAAUUCCUUGUCGGGUAAGUUCCGACCUGCACGAAUGGCAUAAUGAUGGCGGCGCUGUCUCCAGCAGAGGCUCAGUGAAAUCGAAAUCGCUGUGAAGAUGCAGUGUACCCGCGGCUAGACGGAAAGACCCCGUGAACCUUUACUGCAGCUUGACACUGAACUUUGACCUUACUUGUGUAGGAUAGGUGGGAGGCUUUGAAGCUGGAACGCUAGUUCCAGUGGAGCCGUCCUUGAAAUACCACCCUGGUAAUGUUGAGGUUCUAACUCUGUCCCGUGAUCCGGGACGAGGACCGUGUCUGGUGGGUAGUUUGACUGGGGCGGUCUCCUCCUAAAGAGUAACGGAGGAGUACGAAGGUGCGCUCAGCGUGGUCGGAAAUCACGCGUAGAGUAUAAAGGCAAAAGCGCGCUUAACUGCGAGACCCACAAGUCGAGCAGGUACGAAAGUAGGUCUUAGUGAUCCGGUGGUUCUGUAUGGAAGGGCCAUCGCUCAACGGAUAAAAGGUACUCUGGGGAUAACAGGCUGAUACCGCCCAAGAGUUCAUAUCGACGGCGGUGUUUGGCACCUCGAUGUCGGCUCAUCUCAUCCUGGGGCUGAAGCAGGUCCCAAGGGUAUGGCUGUUCGCCAUUUAAAGAGGUACGCGAGCUGGGUUUAGAACGUCGUGAGACAGUUCGGUCCCUAUCUACCGUGGGCGCUGGAAAUUUGAGAGGAUCUGCUCCUAGUACGAGAGGACCAGAGUGGACGAACCUCUGGUGUACCGGUUGUGACGCCAGUCGCAUCGCCGGGUAGCUAUGUUCGGAAGGGAUAACCGCUGAAAGCAUCUAAGCGGGAAGCCUACCUCAAGAUAAGAUUUCCCUAGGACUUUAUGUCCUCUAAAGAGCCGUUCGAGACUAGGACGUUGAUAGGUUGGAUGUGGAAGCAUAGUGAUAUGUGAAGCUGACCAAUACUAAUUGCUCGUGAGGCUUGACUAU